rnacentral:lncRNA from 1 species
AGAGCAGGCAGAUGCCUGCCAGGGCCAGGGAGAGCUUUCUGAGAGGGUGGUGAGAGACUGGAGAGGUGGGAGAGGGGUAGCUAUGAAAGGAAAAUGUGUGGAGGUGACAUGGUCUGUAGGUUGGGCCAGGCCAGAAGAGAAGGUCAAAGAGAAAUGAGUGUUCCAGUCAGGCUUGAUGUCUUAGGGAAGAUCCUGGGGCCCAGCCCACUGCCCCCUCCUCUCCGUCUCUCCUGCUCCCGGGGCUGAGGGAAUGGAAGGAGCUGUGCCACUGUGAGGAGGAGGACCUGCAUCUGUGAGGGGCCUGCUGGGACCAGCUGCUGGGGAGUACAGCUUUCUCUCAGUAGCUGAAGGGGGCUGCCUCUUUUCCAAGGGGCAGCUGCCACGCCACCGCAGGAAAAUCUGGCUUGCCAUUUUGGAUACCUGGAUUUUCCCACAGUGUGAGGGGGCUGGGGGUGUGGCCCAGGAAGGUGCACCUGAGGUGGGAGAAGAAAGAAGAAGACUGGAUGGGAGUCAGCUGAAUUGGGGGCCGCAGAGGCUGGGGUGAGAGGGAGGGAAGGAGGUGUCAAAGCUCAGCCUCCCAAAGCUGAGCGAGAAGAGCAUGACGGGAGGGUGUUUCCCACCUCCUCGCCCACUCCAGCGCAGGGUCCUGUCUCCGUCCAAACGCUGCAAGCCUUUCCACAUUCCUGCACUACCUUCCUGCGCUGCCUUUGGAGAUCUGAGAGU